UCAAGUGGGCAAAGUCACCAACAAAAGUAGGAAUGGGCAUGGUCUGACUAGGGGAUGGUGAGGGGCUGCUUUGGCUGAAAUGGAGGGUUGCCAUGACAGAUGGCAAUAUAUAGAUAUAGAUAUAGAUAUAGAUAUAGAUAUAGAUAUAGACAUAGAUAUAUAGAUAUAUAAUAAGCAUAUGUAUAUUUGAAUAAAUAUAUUGAAUAUAUAUUCAAUUCAUACAUAAUUGAAUAAAAGGUAAACAGGCAAGCUCCAGGAAUAGGCAACUGUAAUUAUGACACGCUUUGAGUAGCCUGAUGCAGGAUUUUAGCUGCCGGGUUUUAACUGAACCUGUUUACACAAUGCCUUGCGUAGUGGAGGAGAGAGCUGUAGGUACAUCUAAUUAAUCAACAAGAUGACACUUUUAUCUCUAAGCCAUGCCCUUUCUUCCAAGAUGACUGAUAGCUCCAUGAAGGUGAAGACUAUUUCUCUCUCAUCAUUUUAGCCAACGAGGAAAGAAAUCAGUGGUAGUAGGAGGAUGACUGAUUGCUAGCUUUACUGAGAGAACCAUCCAGAGCUUCCAACUACAUGAAGGUCAAGCGUACAGCUUGUGUACACUGAACAGCACUGUGCAGCUGGGUUUUUCCAGAAGAAUUAAAAGUAUUUUUAGUGGUGCUGGUGAGAGUCGGAGGAGGAGGUUAUAAAGGUCACGAGAGAGGAGGAGCAGCGGGCUGGCGGAGCGCCCAAAACGGGAGAGGAGACUCGAGUGCUAGGCUAAGGCACCUCUGAUCUCAUUUUUCCUCGCCUGUCAAAGGAGAUAAAAAAAAAAAUGCCUAUUCUGCCCACCUCUAAGGGAGAAGGGAGUAAGAUAAUUGGUAAAACAUUGUUUUGGAAAAUAAGCAACACUACUUAUAGAAGUAGCAAAGUGUAAUUUAUGCUGUGCCCUAGACCAUUGACAGGGACCCAUAUUCAAGCUAUCCAGGUGCAAAAGCACAUUUUGGAAGUCACCAAGUUAGUGCCAAUAAAACCUAAGAACAGAAAAAUACCUAAAAGCACCUGUGUUUUGGAUAGAAAAGCUUAAGAUUCAGAACAAGAGUUGGACAGCCCAAGAAUAGAAGAGCCCUCUCACCCGUUAGAACGGUUGGGUAGCAGCUUCUGGUUAGGGAACAGAAACACAGAGGCUCCAAAUAAAACUUUUUCAGAAAUCA